CUUUACUUUUCGUGGACAGCAGCUGCCGCCAGCCCACAGCACUGAUCUGAGACGCCGGGUUACAGCUGGACCUCUCCCAAGGGCCGAUUUUACACCAGUCACAGCUCAGAGGCACUGCAGUCCGGAUGAGAUGGAGAUAGCUUCCAAUGGGCUUGGCUAAGACUUUUGAAAGGAAGGAUUCCUGGCAUCCCAAGUUGACCUUGACCCUGCCAAGUAGUUGAAGAUGGCCUUGAACUUCUGAUACUUCUACCUUCAUGGCCUCAGUACUGAAAUUAUAGAUUUGUCUUCCACACCCA